rnacentral:rRNA from 1 species
CCUACGGGAGGCAGCAGUGGGGGAUAUUGCACAAUGGGGGGAACCCUGAUGCAGCGACGCCGCGUGGGUGAAGGAGUAUUUCGGUAUGUAAAGCCCUAUCGGCAGGGAAGAAGCAAGACGGUACCUGACUAAGAAGCCCCGGCUAACUACGUGCCAGCAGCCGCGGUAAUACGUAGGGGGCGAGCGUUAUCCGGAUUCACUGGGUGUAAAGGGAGCGUAGACGGCCAUGCAAGCCAGGGGUGAAAGCCCGGGGCCCAACCCCGGGACUGCCCUUGGAACUGCAUGGCUGGAGUGCGGGAGGGGCAGGCGGAAUUCCUGGUGUAGCGGUGAAAUGCGUAGAUAUCAGGAGGAACACCAGUGGCGAAGGCGGCUUACUGGACUGUAACUGACGUUGAGGCUCGAAAGCGUGGGGAGCAAACAGGAUUAGAUACCCGGGUAGUC